rnacentral:rRNA from 1 species
GAUGAACGCUAGCUACAGGCUUAACACAUGCAAGUCGAGGGGCAGCAUGACCUAGCAAUAGGUUGAUGGCGACCGGCGCACGGGUGAGUAACACGUAUCCAACCUGCCGAUUAUUCCGGGAUAGCCUUUCGAAAGAAAGAUUAAUACUGGAUAGCAUAACGAGAAGGCAUCUUCUUGUUAUUAAAGAAUUUCGAUAACCGAUGGGGAUGCGCUCCAUUAGUUUGUUGGCGGGGUAACGGCCCACCAAGACAUCGAUGGAUAGGGGUUCUGAGAGGAAGGUCCCCCACAUUGGAACUGAGACACGGUCCAAACUCCUACGGGAGGCAGCAGUGAGGAAUAUUGGUCAAUGGACGAGAGUCUGAACCAGCCAAGUAGCGUGAAGGAUGACUGCCCUAUGGGUUGUAAACUUCUUUUAUAUGGGAAUAAAGUGGGCCACGUGUGGCUUUUUGUAUGUACCAUACGAAUAAGGAUCGGCUAACUCCGUG